rnacentral:rRNA from 1 species
GCCAGCAGCCAUAUCACCCUGCAGCUCUCAACUGUUUAACCCCUGAAGCUCAGCAGGAUUGAGCCUGGUCAGUAUGUAGAUGGGAGACCUUCUGGGAAGCAAUGGUUGAUGCUGGAA